rnacentral:antisense_RNA from 1 species
CUUCACCGAGCCGAGCAACAGCGGCACAUCCCGGCCCUGCCCGUACGUCGCCAGCAAAGCCUGCGCCUC